GAGAAUUCCAGGAUCCCAGACUCUCCUGGAUCCCCCAGCUGGUUUAAGGAUGUUGAGAGGAGAAAGGCUGCACCUGCACAGGGUGGAGGUGAUGUGGUCGUCACUCAUCUGGAAGGAAUUUCAGAGGAUGAGCAGUUGCUGCAAGCCCAGAGCGAGAGGCAGAAGAACAUUUACAAAUGCUGUAAACCUGGGAGUAAAGUCUUGGCUGAAUUUGCAUCUGGCACCAUGCUGCUGUCAAGGUCUCUGCAAAUCAGGAGAAUGGAAGUUGAAUACAGCAUUUUGCAUCUGCUCUGCAAAUUCACAAGGGAGAUGUGCCAGGAUGGGCUCUUAGAACAGUCCACUGGAAACAGAAAACACUCAGAGCUGCUCAGGGCUUCAUUGGCUGCAUCCUCACCCUCAGCAUGCAGGAGACAGACCCAGCACUGGCUCACGGAGGCUCAGGAGCUGUCCUGGUGCCAUGGGGAUGGGUAAGGAUUUGGCAAAGAUGUUUUGUGGAGGCCUCAUUGGUGGUGGACCCAUGUGUUGAUGUGGCCAAUGGUCCAACGUGGGUUAAAAAUCAGGAACCAUCAGAUUUGACAUUUUCAAUUAUAAAACCCAACAAAUUGGGCUGCCUCCAACCACCACCUCAGCUCUGGGAGCUUGUCCCCAUUCC